rnacentral:rRNA from 1 species
CGGCAACAGCCCGAAACUCAAAGGACUUGGCGGUGCUUUAUACCCUUCUAGAGGAGCCUGUUCUAUAAUCGAUAAACCCCGAUAAACCUCACCAAUCCUUGCUAAUACAGUCUAUAUACCGCCAUCUUCAGCAAACCCUAAAAAGGAACAAAAGUAAGCUCAAUCACAACACAUAAAGACGUUAGGUCAAGGUGUAACCCAUGGAAUGGGAAGAAAUGGGCUACAUUUUCUACUUCAAGAA